UUUUUGGUUUUGGUAAAUAUGUGGUUUUGUUUCUGUGAAUGAACUGUAAGUGUUGAUCUCCAACAAGUGCAGUUCGUUCAAUAUUCCGGUAAAUGGCAAUAUGUUGUUUUUUUCGAAACAAACUGUUCAACUGGUCACGAGUUUUUUACCAGCUGCUGUAGAAAACCACAGUCACUUCAUUAAGUGAAAGGGGAGAAAAUAAAAGCAAUUUGCAAAUCGGUCAUAAUUUUGAAUAAAGUGAAAUAUUUGGAGAGCAACACUUUAAGUUCAGUCACAGUAUUUGGAAAAAAACAUGAUAUUCACUAAGGCCAAUCAUCGGGGUUAGUAUCAGGUUUUUGAAAGUAAAUUGAAAAGGAGGAAGACUAAGACAAACACUUGUUGCAUGUUUCUGGAUCUUUUUGGGGAAU
rnacentral:lncRNA from 1 species